GGGGGAGGGUGUAUAUGACAAACUCAGAGAUGAAGGUUAACAGGGAGCAGCUGCUUACCAAUUACGGCGUGAAAAACUCCCAAAGAGAUGUCAGGUGGCAAAGCUAGUUCUGCUGCUGCUUCAUUCGUGCUCAUGCUCAUUCGAAACCAACUCUUUGUGACUCCAUGGACUGUAGCCCACCAGGCUCCUCUGUCCAUGGGAUUUUCCAGGCAAGAAUACUGGAAUGGGUUGCCAUUUCCUCAUCCAGGGAAAUCUUCCAGACCCAGAGAUCGAACCUGCGUCUCCUGCAUUUACUCCUGGGAGGCCAGCACUUUUCCCAGUAAAGGUCGUGCAGGCUACACGAAAGUUCUGGGGUCAAAGUCAACGGUUGACUUGGAACCUCAAAAUACUAGUGACUUGGUGAGGAGAUCCAUCCACUCAUCUCAAAGAGGAAUUCAAGGCCCAGAAAAGAGCUGUGACUUGUCUGAGGUCAUCUUGGGGUCAAAGAACCAGAGCCCAGGACUCCUCCAGAUUCUUAAUCCGGAACUCAUCAUUCUUGCCCUGCAGGAUGUGGUUUCCAUCCCACAGCCCUGAAACAGACUUCCCCUGGGAUAUGGUGGUUGCCUAGGCUAAUACUUGGACGUUCUUUAGCACUGUGGGGCAAUAACCAGGGGAGACAGAGUUUGGGGAAAUGAGGAAGCAGGUGGGGGAGCCAUCCACAGGUGCUGAAAUUCCAGGAGGCUCAUAAGCACAUCGCCCUCCGUCCAUCCUGGGCAAAGCAGCAAGGACUGUCCCUUCAUUUGUCCACUCUGCCCUCACUGCCCUUUGGUGACUUCUCUUCCUCCUCUCUGCUCUUCAAGGCUGUCCUACUGCUCACUUUGGCCUGUCUCCUGAGGAGUAACAUGGUGAUGGAGCCAAUCUGUGUGAUGUGCUUGGGGGCCCACCCUUCACUGGAAAACCUCUGUUGAGUCAUAUACCCUCAAGAAUGGAAACAGAAAAUAAAAAUGAGAGACUACUCCCUGUGGAUGAUAUUAUGCGCUCCCCUGUUUCCCCUGGUCAAGCCCUCCUCCCUACCCUGGGAGGUCAGAAUAAGUCAAACAUUCCUGGGGGGGUGUGGGUGGGAGAGAGGCUCAAGAGGGAGAAGAUACAUGUAUACUUAUAGCUGAUUCACAAUGACGUACGGCAGAAACAACACAACUUAGG
ensembl:lncRNA